rnacentral:rRNA from 1 species
GAUGAACGCUGGCGGCGUGCUUAACACAUGCAAGUCGAACGAGAAGUGGAGACGGAAACCUUCGGGCGGAAGACUUUACUUCGAGUGGCGGACGGGUGAGUAACGCGUGGGUAACCUGCCUCAUACAGGGGGAUAACAGUUGGAAACGACUGUUAAUACCGCAUAAGACCACAGCACCGCAUGGUGCGGGGGUAAAAACUCCGGGGGUAUGAGAUGGACCCGCGUUCGAUUAGCCAGUUGGCGGGGUAACGGCCCACCAAGGCGACGAUCGCUAGCCGAACUGGGAGGAUGACCGGCCACAUUGGGACUGAGACACGACCCAAACUACGACGGGAGGCAGCAGUGGAGAAUAUUGCACGAUGGGAGAAACCCUGAUGCAGCGACGCCGCGUGAGUGAAGAAGUAUAUCGGUAUGUAAAGCUCUAUCAGCAGGGAAGAAAAUGACAGUACCUGAGUAAGAAGGCCCGGCUGACUACGUG